GCUACUUUUGUAUUCGAGGCAUGGUGUUCUGCAGUUCUGUGUCGCCUUGGGCGUCAAGAGUAAGUUAACUUAGCUGUCUGAUGGUUAAGUGUUUUCACGUUUCUUUAACAUCGUCGAUGUAACGUAGGUUGUCGGUUUCUGUGUUGAACGAGCUAACAUUAGCUUACUUUACAUAUGUUAGCUGAGGUAAUGUUUAGCUAACGCUCGUGUUAUAGGUUCAUUAGUGGCAGGUGGGUUAAGACACCUGAGGGGUCACGUGCUACACACUUCAUCUAAUAACCACGAUUUUAUUGAAGUGCUUUGAAACUGGUUCCACGCAGACAUGUAUAGACAAGCUCACAUAUACCGGAGCGGUCAGUCCGGACAGUCACGUGACCAGACCAGUGGCGUCCCUAGGCUAAAAAACCCGGGGCUAAAGCCCCGAAUGUUUUUUCAUUAGCCCCGAAUGUUUUCAACCAACAAAAAAAAAAGAUUUGGUACACAAGUGGUUAACACCUCCAGGUCGCACGUGACGUCAUUCACCCAAAACAGCGGAGUCAGACUGGCAGCAGGCGCACGUAACAGCAAGCUGCUGUCUGAGAGUGUUUCUAUGUCUACACAUUUCGCUGCUUCACUCUUCUGGGCUAAGCCCAGCGCCGCCGCUCCCAUAACGCGCAUCGCUCUGCCGUGAUACGCGCCGACACAUCCGCGCACACAGACAUUAUAAUCCAACUUGGAUGGAAAAACUUUGUGACCUUAAUGACACCCAGCAACACGAGCUAGAGAGACACACAAGCACCACAGGGGAGGAUCUGCAGCAAAGGGACCACCGGAAAUCAAACCUUGGCCGCCAUGAUGACGACAUGUGGCACUUGAGUGUGAAUCUAGCCUUUUCAUUUUUAUUUACAACAUUAGCAUUGAAAAGAGCAAAAGUUGAUGCUUGAGAUGAUUUUGUUUUUACUGAAGAGGAUGUAUGUCCUCCCUUUGUCCUUUAUCCCCUUACUCUUUCUUUUUAGGUGUGAUUACGACUACCAGCAUGAACCUCAACACCUUCUUUGCUGUUCCA